rnacentral:lncRNA from 1 species
CCUCACUCUAGACUGUGUGGGACCCAGGCACGUGAGGCUCUGCAGCCCAGGGGGAGGAUGGCAGUCCCUCCCCCACCAUCUGCAGCCGCAGUGACACCCACUCAGGGGUGGACGAGAGGCUGCUCCAGGGAGCCGAGCAGGGCAUGUCUUAGGAGGAGAAAGGAAAGGACUCAUUUGCAUGGCCAGGCGUCACCCCUCCCACCUACGUUCCUACCACCAUCCUCGCCAUCCUCAUCCCGGACAGGCACAGACCACCCCGGCUCCCCUGUGGGGAGUCAGCAGCAGCCAAGACAAGAAUGGCCACAAAGAUGGGCACACACCUGCCCUUGCCAGGUCUACACUCCACCCCAGCUGGCCAGGCUGAUCCCCAAAUCCUCCCCACCCAAGGAGCGCCCAGCAGGAAGGCAGGGGCUGGGGAACAGGAGCCGGAAGUGCUCAGAAGAGGCCCUCACAGGCCAUUUCUGCAGAUUCUCUGAUAGGGUGGGCCACUAAAAGCCCAGGGUAGCUGAGCCCCCUCCCCUGGCCAGGGGCCAGAAAUGGAGCGAGAUGGAGACGCACAGCCCCUGGGUAGGUAGCAAGGCUCUGCUCACAGAGGCCAGGCCUCAUCUCAGGUCCUCAGCUAUGUGCAGCAGGCCGUUUCAGGCUGUGCCAGAGACCUGUGGGCCCCCCCUUGCCCAGCUCCUCACCUCAGGGGACACACUGCCUCCUGGCAGGGCUUGACCUCAAGGUCACCCCUCAGCAGGGGACACCACUCUGGCCCCAGAGUCCAGUGGACUCAGCAUUUCAGCCUGGCCCCAGGGCAGUGCCUCCAUACAAGUUUAUGCCAGGAGCUCUAGAACUCGGGGGGCACCUGGAUUGUCACUGGGUGUUGCUACAGACCCUCGUGCUGAGAGCCCCAAGCCAGGACAAGGACCCGUGACCAGCCCAGGGACGUCUAGCCCUGUGAGCAGAGUCUGCACCCCACAGGAAUGGAUGGCCAACAAGAUGAGGCUUGGGACACUCUCAGCCCCAGGCUGUGCCCUGUUACAGCUCUAAAAGUACAGUCAACACUCGGCAGUGGGCAUGGUGUCUGUAGGGUCAGGACAGGGCUGCUCCGUGAAGCACAUGCACCAAGCUCAGGUAGAAGCUGCAAGUCCAGCCAGGCAGCACAGACCCCCAUUCAGGUGCAUGCAGGAUGCUGCAUGCCUCACCCCAUGGAGACUUGGAACUGCAGGCCCACGCCCACCACAUGAGGCUGUCUCGGAGCCGCUGCAGGAUUCUGCACCUCGACAGGCCCGGGAGGGACCUCCAGCACUGCACGGGCAGCAGAGGCCAGCCCUGAAGGCCAUCUGCAUGCACGCGAUGGCAGAGGCAGCCCCCUCCCCACUGGGAGAGAGCCCCCUGCCCCAGCACCUCAGACCAGGGGAGCAAGGACCCCCAGACCCACAUGGGGUGAGGCCCCCGCACACCUGGAUGCUCUCCAUUCAUUCCUUCAACACACAUUUCCGAGCCCUUCGUAGGGGCUGGGCCACAAAUCCUGCCAAAAUCUGGGCAACCCUGCAGGGCAUGGAACCCUGAUGGGCAGGGAGAGUACAGGGUUCCUGCACUCCUCCCAGGAACCCUGCUGGACCUGAGUCUAGGACAGAGCAGGAGCAUCUUCAUGACAGCAGGCAGGAAGUCUCAGGCCUUACCCAAUUCUUUCACCUCUCUGUACCUCUGUUUCUUCUUCUGUGGCUGGAGAGUAAGCUCAGACAUGUUCACUCAGUAAACGUGAGCAGUUAUCGUCACCAUCAGCACCAUCAUCUCUACCAUCAUCACCAUCAUCGUCAUCUCCACCAUCCUCACCAUCACCAUCAUCACCUCUAUCAUCUCCAUUAUCAUCAUCAACCUCAAGAUGGGGCCACUCAAACUCCCUCUAGCUGGUCCUGUUUUCACUUCUUUGAAGCAAUGAGGGUAGGCCAGCAGAAUGAAGAGGAUGCAGACCCCCUGGAACUAUGGCCACCCAAAGGUCACUCAAAAGACCCAUGUGUUCCUAGGAGGGUGACCGCAUGCUAAGGACACAGGAGAGGUAGUGAUGGGGUGGGACAAAGAGCUGAGAGUUGAGUGGUAAAGUGUGGGGCACUUAGUGACAGACACUGGGUGUGUGACACUCAGGUCCCCAAGCCCCUGGGAAGACAGCUCUCCUCAUGCUACGGAGGCCCCUAGCCAUCACUGCCCAAGCAGCCUCAGCUGAUCUUUAGGCAGUCUCCAAUGUCCCUUACCCACAGUCCUCCAAAAUGACAGGGGAAGAACUCUGUCUUGGCACACAGAUCGCAUCUCCCCAAGCACGUCACACUCAGAGGAGAGCAGGACCCCUAGGGCAAGCAGUCCUGCCUCCCGGCUUAGAAGGCAUGGUGCCAUCCCUCUCAGAGCCCACCUACCAAAGACUGGAGAGUGUCCCAAGAGCCCCUAGAAAGGCCUGUUUCCAGCCAAACCCCACUUCCCUCACUGGCAGAGCACUGAGGAGGUGCUCUUCCCCUGUACCCAGAAGGAGGAGAAGGCAGGAUUGCCCCCAAGGGUCCUUGUUUCUCUUGGACCAUUAUUAUCUUUACAACUGCCAGUGUUACCAGGGCCCGUGUGCGUGUGUGUGUGCGUGUGUUCAUGUACGUUUGUGCAUACAUGUGUACAUGGGUUGCAUGUGUGCA